GGAGGGCGCAAGCGUUGUUCGGAAUCACUGGGCGUAAAGCGCGUGUAGGCGGCUUGGCAAGUCGGGUGUGAAAUCCCGGGGCCAACCCGGAACUGCACUCGAAACUGCCUAGCUAGAGUCCCGGAGAGGAAGGCGGAAUUCCCGGUGUAGAGGUGAAAUUCGUAGAUAUCGGGAGGAACACCAGCGGCGAAGGCGGCCUUCUGGACGGUGACUGACGCUGAGACGCGAAAGCGUGGGGAGCAAACAGGAUUAGAUACCCUGGUAGUCCACGCCGUAAACGUUGGUGCUAGGUGUCGCGGGUAUUGACCCCCCCGCGGUGCCGUCGCUAACGCAUUUAGCACCCCGCUGGGGAUACGGUCGCAAGGCUA
rnacentral:rRNA from 1 species